rnacentral:lncRNA from 1 species
UUUAAACCCUAAGCCGUUGUGGUGAACAUAAUCCGAAGGUUUGGUAAAGAAGAUGAAGCCAACAAUAUUGCAUCAAACUAGUAUUUCUCCUAAAUAGGGUUGUUCCUUUCUAAACUCCUUCAAUUUUAAAAGUCUAUAUUUUUCUAGUAAUUUUUGUUUCUUACUUAUUAAUUUUGAUUCUAGGUCAUUUACCUAGAUUUUUAAUUUUUCAAAUAUGGCUAGAUGUGGC